UCUGCCUGGCAGCAGGUAAUAUAUUGCCAGCAAUCCCUGUUCAAGUAAUUUUGCUUAACUAAACCUCUUAGUUAACCUUGGACGUGUCACUGUGAGACUUACAGCAGAUAGACUACUUCAGUGAGCUGAAGAAUGUGCUAUUAUGGCAUGUGGUUUAUGUUCUAUAUCAUUUUUUAGCUGUAGUAUGGGUUAUAUAGUUGCAUUGGUUAAUAUUAUAACCCAUAAUUCUAUUCUAAAAUGAGACACCUGAGACAGAGUCCUUUUUGAUUUGGCCGUUGUUGCACUGCAAUGGCAGAAUGGGAGAUUGUACUUGCACCUAUCUGCUCAGUUUAUUCUUUCUCCAAGUCUCCAGAAUACACAUUAAUAUUGCCAACCCAUCAGUGUAUAAAAGGCACAUGGUGCCAUGAUGGAUUUCCAGUUGGCAUGUAGAAGUCUUAACGCCAGUGAUCUGGGGAUUUUUCAUUUGGACUGUAAUUAUUAUGUAUCAUCAGUGUUUGAGGAGAGAGAUUAAAAGGUGAACAGGCAGAGAAAAGUGCUACUAAGAUGAUCAAGGAAUUGUAGGCUUUGGUCAUAGCAUAAAAGACAAAAACAUGUUUAAUUAAGCAAAACAGAGGCAAUGUUGCAGCUAGCAGAUAGUGUUGGCACAGGAACCAGAACAUAAAUUGGCUAAGAAUAAAUCUGCAGUGCAAUUUCACGUAAGGUUCAUUAGAGCUAAGAAAUUCUGAAAUAGUCUUCCAAGAGAAAUAGUAAAAGGGAAGAAAUUAUCUAAUUUCAAGUUGGAAUAUAAUACUUUUAUGGAAGGAUGAUAUAAUGCAGUGCCAUAAAAGGCAACUGUAUUCAAAUAAUCAUGAGAUCACCUUGCACUCAGUGUUGCUAUAAUCCUAAACUCCUAUGUACCAUUUGAAAGCCUGAGCAGAAUUAUUACCAAUUACAGGCAAGAAUUUCAUUAUCACAGAACCAGGCUAUCCUUUGCACUAAAACCAGCGCUAUCACAGUUUUUAACAGGUUGCUUAUAGUGGGUAUUGGUUAAGCAAGGACAGGCAGGGAAGGCUAUGCUGUUGUAACUGGUACAGCAUGGAGGACAAACAUCUGCAAACUGCAACCCUGCAUCAUCUGCUACUAAGAGUCAUGCACGGACAUCAUACAUGGACAGAAGCAAAACAGAACAAAACGGUCUGCAGGAUCCUAGUUGACUGCUCAGACAAGCAGAGAAACUUCUGAAGUCCUCUGGAGGAUGUUUAUCUGGAAACAAAUAGUGCUGUAAAGGAGAAUAGGCUGGAUCUGACUACGAGCCACAACACUGGAGACAAUAUAAGGUGAGAAAAACGUGACACAAGACUUCAGUUCCUCAACAGCAUUUUCAUUGCUUGCUUCUGACAACAACUUUAUUCUACCAAAAAUAUCGUUGAAUUCAAUUAUGUUGUCAUACUUGAAUCGUAUAUUCUAAUUUGGAAAGAAUGUUUACAGGUUUGCAAAGUUUUGGUAGUCAUAUACUUUUUAGACAAAUCAUACCAAAUCUUGUACUGGUAUUUGAGAAUGGAUUGGAUUGAAAUAUGUCUUGCUUCUCAUUUUUGUAACUGCUUGCUUCUGUAAUAGGUCACUUUAAUGACCAGAGUUUUCCUUUUUCCAGUCUCAGUACUGGAAAACACCAAAAUUCUCAAAUCAAUUCUAGAUGUUUUUUUAAUUUUCUUUUUAGCAUACUGCUUCAGAAGUGUGCUUUCUCUUGUUUUUUUUGACUGCCCAAAGCAGAUGAAUACCUCCUAACUUUUGUUCAGCUGACAAAGUGUUUGUUAUUUCCUUGCAUUUGUUAUUUCCUUGCACUUCUACUUUAAAUUGAAUCUUGUCUCUAAAUACCUGAAAUGUUCCUGGCAAAUUUCUUGACAGUUAAUCCUUUCUACAGUUCCUCCUUUGCAUAUGCUUCUAUUUCUCUCUGAAGCAUCCAAGCAUUUACAUAAAAAGUAAAUUCCAUCUCAUUUUUUUUUUAAUUAUAUCUUAAUUUAGUCAAACUACAAGUCCUAUACUUGAUAAGGUGGUGACUGAGGAAUAGAAGAAGACACUUUAAUGAAAAUAAUUGCCUUCAUGUAAAAGUCACAAAAGGGUCAACCUUUUUGUGAUGUAUGUGUGAUUACGUUUCAUAUUAAAUGAAUGAGUUGUACAAAAACAUUUUCUAUUAGUAUAAACUAAAUGGUGAGGGAUGCUUAGCAAAACAGUGCCCUUUGCUGGGAGUUUUGUGCUGUUUUGCCUGAUUAUAUUGGUUUUGAAAGCUCACAUGCAGAAAUUUUGUUUCAGUUUCCCUUUUUAAUGAGUUCAUUCCUGGAGGGAAUAUUUAAUACAUUACCCCUAAGAAUAAGAAGUGUCUUCCUGAAUUACUUUAGUACUGGCUAAAGAAAGAGAUGGAUAAGAUUGGGAAUGAAAGGAAAUCACAUUUUCUGUGACAUUUUGAUAUUCAUAAGUGUGUAUGUUAGAUCUCUCAAAGUGCACAUCUGUAAAACUAAUACUCAAAUAGCAGCAUGGGUAUCCUCAGCUGUGCACUGGGGAUCUGGACCGCUUGCUUCACCAGCUCUCAAACAAGAAGGCCAUCAUGUGCGUGACAGCUUGAGACUUCAGAGCUAGAGUGAGUUCCUCUCCAUUCAUAAAACAUGAAUAAUUGAGGCACUACAGUAGAAAUGUUUUCUUAAAGUAAUUAAGUAAGUAAUGAUGCACAAGCUGGGACAUAAUCCAGUUUACAUGCUGGUUUUGCAGAGGAAAAAAUAGGAAAAAACCUACAUUAAUGAAUAAAGUGGUCUGACAAUUCUGAAUUUAAGGCAAGGAAAAAAAUGUUGGGUAGGAAGGGGUGCUAUGUAUUUAUUUCCUUUUCAGAUGGUAGCCAUGCUUUAAAAGAGCUUUCAUUUUGGCUUUGGUAGCUUGGAUUCACUGAUGUCUUCUUUCUUGAAGACAUGGAGGGAAUAAUCACUGUUGUGAGCAUGCUUUGAGAAGUGCAGACUACUAGAAUAAAUGAAUUCCCUUUCUUACAUAGGAGCAUAGUCCCUGAAAAUAGUUUAAAUCCAAAACCAAAUUAACCCCCUUUCUUUCCUGUGUGAGGGUCACAGUGGCAGUAUGACACAGCUAGACUGCCAUACUUACUGUUUCUGUCCCAAAAAUUCAUUGCUUGCAUUGCUACCCACACUGGAAUAUUAGAGCAUACAGUUUCAGAUGCAGGGAAGUUAACAUUCAAACAGUUCGGUCCACUUGCUGCUUAUAUCAUUCAGACUUAGACAAUAACAAUUGAAUUUCUAAUUGUUGAUGAGUAUCCUGGCAGAUGUGUUAAUGUGCCUUGAAUGAUACACAGUUCCAGUAUCAGGUGCAGGGAAAGACUAAGUUGAGAGCUCUCUCAGUGUGCCUGAAUUUAUAGGACAAGUCAGCUGUCAGUAACUCUUGCCAGCCUCAUUCUAUAUUCUACUUUGCUCACUUUAUAUAUGGUGCUAUUUCUUUUUCAUACAAUUCUCAAAUAUUAGGACUAACUUCCUUUAUUUAUAGCUAAAGUCAGCUCCUGCAUUACUUCUGGGAAGUGGAAGCACCUACCAUUUCUUUAGACUGCAAUGCUGUUGAAGUGUUAGCAUGCAUCAAUCCAGUGCCAAAUUGCACCAAUUCUUUAUAUGAUUUAUCUAGCUUUCAACAUUCUUGAGAAAUUAGCAUAACAAAGAAGGUUUGUGAGACGUUUCUGUAGUUAAAUGUCAGCACUAAUAUAUCACAACACACAGAAAAGGGUAUUACAUAUAACUAUAGAUACUGUGCUGUGAUUAAAUGUCUGAUUCAUCAUAAAAUACUUUGUCUGUGGUUCCGAAGUAAUGCAGUAUUUUUGUAAGAGAUUCCACCCAUUUCUAGUUUACAAGAAGAAUUAUCAACUGUCAGACUGGUUCCUGGAAUAGUCUU